rnacentral:miRNA from 1 species
CCUGAAAAUACUGAGGCUAUG